rnacentral:rRNA from 1 species
AUUGAACGCUGGCGGCAGGCCUAACACAUGCAAGUCGAACGGCAGCACAGAAGAGCUUGCUCUUUGGGUGGCGAGUGGCGGACGGGUGAGUAAUGUCCGGGAAACUGCCCGAUGGAGGGGGAUAACUACUGGAAACGGUAGCUAAUACCGCAUCAUGUCGCGAGACCAAAGUGGGGGACCUUCGGGCCUCACACCAUCUGAUCUGCCCAGAUGGGAUUAGCUAGUAGGUGGGGUAAUGGCUCACCUAGGCGCCGGUCCCUAGCUGGUCUGAGAGGCUGACCAGCCACACUGGAACUGAGACACGGUCCAGACUCCUACGGGAGGCAGCAGUGGGGAAUAUUGCACAAUGGGCGCAAGCCUGAUGCAGCCAUGCCGCGUGUAUGAAGAAGGCCUUCGGGUUGUAAAGUACUUUCAGCGGGGAGGAAGGCGGUGAGGUUAAUAACCUCGCCGAUUGACGUUCCCCGCAGAAGAAGCACCGGCUAACUCCGUGCCAGCAGCCGCAGUAA